UUGUCUUUGUUCAUGAAAUACUUCUUCGUAAUAGACAGCAUGCAGCCGUCUUCAAGAGGUGAGAAUUUUACUUACCGGCUUAAACAGAAGUGUUAUCUCAAGAUAACAUAAUAUCUGGAGCUAUGUCAUUUCUAUAUUGCUUGACCUAAAGGAAAAGAAAAAAAUAGCCAAUAUCUUCAUUACAAGACAGACUCCUGAGAAUACUAAUUCCAGCAAAAAAGAAGGAGAUCUUCCUAAAAAACAAGAUUAUAAGUCACAGUCUGUAAGAAAAGAAAAAGUAAAACAAGAUAGACCCCUGAGAAUACUAAUUCCAGCAAAGAAGAAGAAUAUCUUCCUAAAAAACAAACUGCAUUGUGGAACUAUGGAAAGACUGGGAACAAAAAGGGCUCCAGCUUGAGUCCUAAGUUACUCCAAAACUACAUGACUAUUAAAGAGGGAGCAAGUGGAAAAGAACACCAAGAAAGAAGAAAGAAACAAGAAGGGGGAGGGUAGAGAGAGAGAGAGAAGAAAGAAUUGACGGAAGGAGAAAGGAGAAAGUGUAUGGGGAGAUAUAUCAUACAAGAAAUAAAAAAAGGAUUACUCAAAGUUAUUGAAAAGAAAUACAGGUUCUGGUGGACAAUUUCCAGUCUGGUGUCUGCAUUUGGAGAGAUUCUACAGCACAUGCAUGAAUGAAUGGAAUAUCUGCUGAGGAGACUGGAAUGAGGAAGGAGUUCAUUAAGGCUGACUGUCUCUGAAAAGCUAAGUUCCUGAGCCUACUCAAUAUGAAGACAAUGAGAAUGAAGAUCUUGAUGAAUUAGUCACUUUCACUUAAUUAAUAAACAAAUAAACUAAGUGCUUUUUAAAACUGUUACCUGUAAGUAG
rnacentral:lncRNA from 1 species